GACGAACGCUGGCGGCGUGCUUAACACAUGCAAGUCGAACGAUGAACCCGGAGCUUGCUCCGGCGGAUUAGUGGCGAACGGGUGAGUAACACGUGAGUAACCUGCCCUUGACUCUGGGAUAACUGCUAGAAAUGGUAGCUAAUACCGGAUACGACACUCGGUGGCAUCACCAGGGGGUGGAAAGAAUUUCGGUCAAGGAUUGACUCGCGGCCUAUCAGCUGGUUGGUGAGGUAACGGUUCACCAAGGCGACGACGGGUAGCCGGCCUGGGGGGUGGACCGGCCGCGGUCGGACUGGGGUACGGCACAGACUCCUACGGGAGGCAGCAGUGGGGAAUAUUGCACAAUGGGCGCAAGCCUGAUGCAGCAACGGCGCGUGAGGGAUGACGGCCUUCGGGUUGUAAACCUCUUUUAGUAGGGAAGAAGCGAAAGUGACGGUACCUGCAGAAAAAGCACCGGCUAACUACGUGCCAGACGCCGCGGUAA
rnacentral:rRNA from 1 species